rnacentral:rRNA from 1 species
GUGGGGAAUAUUGGGCAAUGGGGGAAACCCUGACCCAGCAACGCCGCGUGAAGGAAGAAGGCCUUCGGGUUGUAAACUUCUUUUACCAGGGACGAAGGACGUGACGGUACCUGGAGAAAAAGCCACGGCUAACUACGUGCCAGCAGCCGCGGUAAUACGUAGGUGGCAAGCGUUGUCCGGAAUUACUGGGUGUAAAGGGCGUGUAGGCGGAGCUGCAAGUCAGAUGUGAAAUCUCCGGGCUUAACCCGGAAACUGCAUUUGAAACUGUAGCCCUUGAGUAUCGGAGAGGCAAGCGGAAUUCCUAGUGUAGCGGUGAAAUGCGUAGAUAUUAGGAGGAACACCAGUGGCGAAGGCGGCUUGCUGGACGACAACUGACGCUGAGGCGCGAAAGCGUGGGGAGCAAACAGGA